rnacentral:misc_RNA from 1 species
ACACAAAUAGAGGCUGAGAUUUGUGGAAAUGGACUCCGCGAACAGGACCGUCGUGCUCAUCAAACCUAUCAAUUAAUGUGCCCAUUCGGUAGUCCCAUAGCUGGAUCACGCCACUAUGGAGACUCGCAAGGAUCCACGGUCUCUUACUGUGGAAACUCAGUCCCUUAACUCUAUUACUCUUCGUCUCAAACUUCGUUAACAUCUUCUAUAAUCAACCAAAAUAAACUCUUAGAUCUGAUCAGAUCAAGAAAAGGAACCCAAUCGCAUCUACAAUGAAUCACCAACGCUAUUAGAUUCGAGUGAAAGGGCAAGGAACAGCUAAUGUCAAUUUCAGAGAAACAAAUAAUCAGAAGCAGAUCGGAGAGAAGAGAGAGAGAACAAGGGGUUUUUC